UACGGGGGGGGCAAGCGUUGUUCGGAAUUACUGGGCGUAAAGGGCUCGUAGGCGGCCAACUAAGUCAGACGUGAAAUCCCUCGGCUUAACCGGGGAACUGCGUCCGAUACUGGAAGGCUUGAAUCCGGGAGAGGGAUGCGGAAUUCCAGGUGUAGCGGUGAAAUGCGUAGAUAUCGAGAGGAACACCUGCGGCGAAGGCGGGUUGCUGGGCUGACACUGACGCUGAUGCGCGAAAGCCAGGGGAGCGAACGGG
rnacentral:rRNA from 1 species